AUUGAACGCUGGCGGAAUGCUUUACACACGCAAGUCGAACGGCAGCACGGGGCAACCUGGUGGCGAGUGGCGAACGGGUGAGUAAUACAUCGGAACGUGCCCAGUCGUGGGGGAUAACGUAGCGAAAGUUACGCUAAUACCGCAUACGAUCUAUGGAUGAAAGCGGGGGAUCGCAAGACCUCGCGCGAUUGGAGCGGCCGAUGUCAGAUUAGGUAGUUGGUGGGGUAAAGGCUCACCAAGCCAACGAUCUGUAGCUGGUCUGAGAGGACGACCAGCCACACUGGGACUGGGACACGGCCCAGACUCCUACGGGAGGCAGCAGUGGGGAAUUUUGGACAAUGGGGGCAACCCUGAUCCAGCCAUUCCGCGUGAGUGAAGAAGGCCUUCGGGUUGUAAACUGCUUUUGUACGGAACGAAACGGUCUGCCCUAAUACGGUGGGCUAAUGGCGGUACCGUAAGAAUAAGCACCGGCUAACUACGUGCCAGCCGCCGCCGUAAAAC
rnacentral:rRNA from 1 species